rnacentral:misc_RNA from 1 species
UCCAACCGUAAGGAGGAGGGCGCCUAAGGCAGGGCUGGUGACUGGGGUGAAGUCGUAACAAGGUAGCCGUACCGGAAGGUGCGGCUGGAUCACCUCCUUUUAGGGAGACCUACUCAACCUGCCAAGGUCAUCUUGGUUACUCACGAACUGGGUUGGGUCAUCCUAGGUCUAUAGGUCGUUGGGCUGUUUGAAAUUCUUGGCUGUUCGCCAGAGCAGCCGGACUGAGGAGCGACGCGGGCUAUUAGCUCAGGUGGUUAGAGCGCACCCCUGAUAAGGGUGAGGUCCCUGGUUCGAGUCCAGGAUGGCCCACUUGAGACGGUACCCGACAAGGAGAGGACUUGGGGGUAUAGCUCAGUUGGUAGAGCGCCUGCUUUGCACGCAGGAAGUCAGCGGUUCGAGUCCGCUUACCUCCACCAACGAUUUGCUUCUCGGUCAAGUUAAGGAGCCAGCUUAGCACCCUGAUCUCAGAUCCAGAUUAGAUUGGUUUGAGCUUAGGCUGCUGAGUUGAACUCAGCGAGAACUUUGAAAACUGCAUAGCAACGAAAAUCAAUGUGAGUCAAAAACUCGUAUUGCAGGUAGAACACCAAUGUUGUGGUCAAGAUACUUAGGGCGCACGGUG